CUAAGCCUUUUAAUGAGAGCAAUUAUGUAGGUAGAUGUAACUGCCAAAGAGAGAUAUAAAGUAACAAAGACAUAAAACCAAACAUGCUAAAGCAGUCAGAUAUCUUAGGAGUCUCACCUGAACCCUUAUGUAAUACAGGGAUGGAGAGACUGAGGAAGGAUAAUUGGUAACGAAGUAGAGUUGGGUACCUGCAUGUAACAAAAGGGACUUUCAGGCUUCAUCCUAUUGUGCAGGAAAGCCAAAAACUACGAUCCAGGAAGCCAGGUCCUCAAUUCCUUUUGAAUUUACCAUUAACAGUUUAACAGUGCCAAGAACCAACAACGGUUAAAACACAAAAUGGAAAAUACCUGGCAUAAGAAGAGUAAUUUAUUAUCCACUUUGUCCAUUUUCUGAAUUGUGAUUUCAGAGCAGUGCAGAAGAGGCUGAUCCUAUUGUGCUGUCCCUCCUUGAGGGAAGGUUGGAGUGAUUCACUGUGCUGCAACUCUUGAGAACUGUUGGUGAUGGUUGGACUGGGUGAUCCUGUGGGCCUUUCCCAACCUUGGUGAUUCUAUGAACUCCAGCAGAACAGAAGUGAGAAGUUACGGUGUCCUGUUCAGAAUGAGUUUAUGCUGUUUUGUGAAGUAGCUUGAUUUUCCUGUUGCACUGCUAAUGACCGCUCUGGGUUUGAUAGCUCAGAACAGAUGAGGUGAUGCUGGUGGACGGCCUGCUCCCCUGGUGCAGUAUGGCCUAGGUGUUUGUCAUGUCUAAGAUAUAGCUACUGGACAUGAUCAUGCCUCGCUAUGGCGCAGCUUCCACAAUGAGGUCACCUGCAGCUUGCAAUUCUUUGCUCUCAAUGUGGAUUUUCUCAGAAGUUUUUGUCAAGUGUAAUGGAGCUUAUCCAGCAGAUGGAAGUC
rnacentral:lncRNA from 1 species